rnacentral:tRNA from 1 species
UCCCUGGUGGUCCAGUGGUUAAGAUUCUGCAUUCCCAAUGCAGAGGGUAGAGGUCUGAUCCCUGGUCGGGGAA